rnacentral:rRNA from 1 species
AUUGAACGCUGGCGGCAGGCCUAACACAUGCAAGUCGAGCGGCAGCGGGAAAGUAGCUUGCUACUUUUGCCGGCGAGCGGCGGACGGGUGAGUAAUGCCUGGGAAAUUGCCUUGAUGUGGGGGAUAACUACUGGAAACGGUAGCUAAUACCGCAUAAUGCCUUCGGGCCAACGAGGGGGCUCUUCGGACCUCUCGCGUCAAGAUAUGCCCCGGUGGGAUUAGCUUGUUGGUGAGGUAAUGGCUCACCAAGGCGACGAUCCCUAGCUGGUCUGAGAGGAUGAUCAGCCACACUGGAACUGAGACACGGUCCAGACUCCUACGGGAGGCAGCAGUGGGGAAUAUUGCACAAUGGGGGAAACCCUGAUGCAGCCAUGCCGCGUGUGUGAAGAAGGCCUUCGGGUUGUAAAGCACUUUCAGCGAGGAGGAAAGGUUGGUAGCUAAUAACUGCCAGCUGUGACGUUACUCGCAGAAGAAGCACCGGCUAACUCCGUGCCAGCCGCCGCAGUAAUAC